GAUGAACGCUGGCGGCGUGCCUAAUACAUGCAAGUCGAGCGAACAGACGAGGAGCUUGCUCCUCUGACGUUAGCGGCGGACGGGUGAGUAACACGUGGAUAACCUACCUAUAAGACUGGGAUAACUUCGGGAAACCGGAGCUAAUACCGGAUAAUAUAUUGAACCGCAUGGUUCAAUAGUGAAAGACGGUUUUGCUGUCACUUAUAGAUGGAUCCGCGCCGCAUUAGCUAGUUGGUAAGGUAACGGCUUACCAAGGCAACGAUGCGUAGCUGACCUGAGAGGGUGAUCGGCCACACUGGAACUGAGACACGUUCCAGACUCCUACGGGAGGCAGCAGUAGGGAAUCUUCCGCAAUGGGCGAAAGCUUGACGGAGCAACGCCGCGUGAGUGAUGAAGGUCUUCGGAUCGUAAAACUCUGUUAUUAGGGAAGAACAAAUGUGUAAGUAACUAUGCACGUCUUGACGGUACCUAAUCAGAAAGCCACGGCUAACUACGUG
rnacentral:rRNA from 1 species